rnacentral:lncRNA from 1 species
AUGUUUGCUUUGUUUGGAAAAUGCUAUGGUAGACUAUAAUAAACUAACAUGCAUAUUAAAAUCUAGUAUGGCCACUAACAAGGGAGCAAACAAAUGUAUAACAUGUUAAUAGAUGGUGAAUAAUAAAAUAAUAUAAAGUAUUUGAACUAAAGGAAGGCAAGGAGAGAAAGAUGAGUAUAAAAUGGGUGGAUUAAAAGAAAAACAAAUAGUAAAAUGGUAGCUGUAAAUUCAACUAUAUAAUUAUAUUAAAAAUAAAUUGGUUGUAAUUCACUAUAUAAACAAAUUUAAGAGAAAACCCAUGUAAUCGUCUUGAUACAGAAAAAGGAUAUGACAAAAUUCAGCAUUCAUUCAUGAACAAAAAUCUAAACAAACUAGGAAAAGAAGGGCUCUUCAUUGAACUGAUGGCAAACAUCUAUGAAAAACCCAGUUAACAUCAUACCUAAUGGUAAAAGAAUUAUUCUUUCCCCAUAAAAUCAUGAACAAGGCAGGAAUGUUUUCUCUCACCACUUUUAUUCAAUAUCAUACUGGAGGUCUUUGCCAAUGUGAUAUGGUAAGAAUAAGAAAUAAAAGGCACAAAAUUUGAAAAGGAAAAAAAAAUGGCUUUAUUCACAAAUGACAUGACUAUUUACACAGAAAAUCCUUAAGAAUCUACCAAAAAAAGCUACUAGAAUUACUAGUGAGUUUAGGAAAGUUGCAAAAUACAAUGCCAAUAUAUAAAACCCAAUUGUGUUUCUAUAAUGAACAAUUAGAAAUUGAAAUUUUAAAAAUACCAGUUCAAAGGCAUCAAAAACACAUGGAGGCACUGAUGAGACAAAUUAAAGACGACCAAAAACCAUGUUCACGAAUCAAAAGAAUCAAUAUCUUUCCUGACAUGACCUAAAAAAAGAAAUCAGGCUGGGCGCGGUGGCUCCAUUCCUGUAAUGCCAGCACUUUGGGAGGCCAAAGUGGGCAGAUUACUUGAGAUCAGGAGUUUGAGACCAGCCUGGCCAACAUGAUGAAACCCUGCCUCUACUAAAAAUGCAAAAAUUAGCUGGGUGUGGUGGCACGUGCCUGUAGUCCCAGCUACUUGGGAUGCUGAGGGAGGAGAAUCACUUGAACCCAGGAGGCGAAGGUUGCAGUGAGCCCAGAUCGCGCCACUGAACUGCAGCCUGGGCAACAGAGGGAGAAUCCGUCUCAAAAAGAAAACAAAACAAACAAAAAAACCUCUCAUAUGUGCUAAUAACUGUUGGUAGUUCCUUCUACAAACACACUGACCACAGGAUCCAUUAAUUCCAUUCCUGGAUAGUUACCUAAGUGAAAUGAAAACACAGGGAUAAGCCAUGGCGCCCGACCUGAA